rnacentral:tRNA from 1 species
GGAAAGAUGGUCCAGUGGUUAGGGAACUAGCUUGAAGCUCGAGACCGGGGUUCAAUUCCCUGUUCUGCCA